CACACACAUACGCGCACACACUACCCCGCCCUGAGCUUGAGAAAUUCUGAGGAGGAGCAAGGCCUUCUUGUUAGAGUGAUCAGCUUUUUCAUGGUCAGACAUUCAUGACAACAUGGGUGAGAGGAGGUUAGAAAACAGGAAGAGCUACGCAUAUUUGCUUUUUCUUGGCAGAAGUCUGAUCGGACUUUUCGGUGGAGGAAGAGGAAAUGUUUUUUUGUUUUCUUCCCAUUUUUGACAUUCCAAA